ensembl:lncRNA
CAGCCUGAGCCCACCGCCGGGUCAGGUCUCUCUCUGUCUCCCUCUGUCUCUGUCUCUCUGUCUCUGUCUCUGUCUCUCUCUGUCUCUCUCUCUCUCUCUUUCUCUCUGGGCCCGCUUGGGGCGGCCGGGAGGUCACCACGUGAGGCCCCAGGGUGUCCACCUCGGAGCUCCCAGGCAGCACAGGGCAACCCUGGGCGCAGAAGGAGGUCGGUGCACGUAUUUCCCUUCCAAAAAAGAAGAACGGGAAAGGAGAUGUUAAAGGCAAGCAGAGAGAGGAAAACUGUUGCAAAACAAAAGCUUAGCUCUCGUCCUAGGGACGCCUCCUCCAUUGGAGGCCUAGGAAAUCAUUCUGACAAAAUGGAGGAUCUCUGUCUUUGGUGUCGAUUCCCUCAAAGGUCAAGAGAAACCUUUUCCAAUGUCUUUAUCAGGAGGAGACUAGAAGUUAGAGAAAAGUAUCCUUUCGAGAGCGAGAAAAGCAAAUUCUGAUUUUGCAUCAGCUUCCCUCCGAUCUUGAAUCUUAUUGACUUGAUUCCAUUCUGUCGACGAACAUAAUCCAGAACCAAUCUAUCCUUGAAAAUCGGGGUGAGUUUAUUCUGAGCUAAAAUGUGAGGACUGUGGCCCGGGGCCUUUCUUCCCGAAGGAAGAGAGGGCACCCGAGAAGUGGUGUGUACAGAGUGCUUCUAGACCCCCAGAGAGGACGUUUCACAUAGGAUCGAAAGGUCCCUUGGACGAUAGUCGCGAGACUGCUCUGUCGGCACAGCGAUCGACAGACACUGCUGGGUGGCAGGUCUGUUAUCUGGGCCUGGGUGGUCACAGGUGAGCUGGACGCUCAAAGGUUAGCGCAGCCAUCCGUUCCUAGCCUAAGGAAGGAUGCUUCUCCUUCAGGAAAUGCGAAAGUGGGGUGAUGUUGCACCUUUAUCUUAAGGCCACUUGUUUUUGUGAUAGGAAAUGUUUAAAGUGGAUCUACGAUGUGUGCUCAGUGGCCACGUCAGGACCUUUUGGAAAAGCAAAGUCAGGCUGAAUUAGGUUUAUGCCAAAUGGCUUCCUCAUAAACUCCAAUAUAUACUCCUGCUUGCCAUUUCUAUUUGUCAAAAACUACUCGUUGUCUUGUGUCUGUUCUUCUCUCACAUUUGGGCAAAUACUGAUUUCGUACUGUUCCUUUAAGUUGGCCAAAGAAACACUUUGUAGAGCUUUGUUUGCCGUUUAAAAAAUGAUUUUUGAGAUUAGAACCUAGAAAAUUGUUUUUAC